rnacentral:lncRNA from 1 species
AUGUCCUCGAAAACCCGCAUUAUAGCCAUGUCAUGCCUAAUCACCUCUCCCAAUACCUCUUAGGCCUCCCCCUGCCUCGUCGUACGCCGACCAUCGCCAGCCGCUCACAACUCCUCACCGGGGCAUCAGGACUUCUCCUCCGCACAUGCCCGAACCACCUCAGCCUCGCUUCUCGCAUCUUCUCAUCCACCAGGGUCACCCCACCUUCUCUCGAAUAACUUCAUUUUUAAUCCUAUCCAACCUGGUGAGCCCACACAUCCACCUGAGCAUCCUCAUAUCCGCAACCUUCAUUCUCUGAACAUGAGAAUUCUUCACUGGCCAGCACUCAGCCCCACACAACAUGGUAGGUCUAACCACAGCUCUAUAAAAUUUCCCCUUGAGUUUUUUUGGAACUUUCUUGUCACACAGGACUCCUGAUGCAAGCCUCCACUUUAACCACCCUGCUCCUAUACGAUGAGUGACGUCCCAGUCAAUCUCUCCGUCCCCCUGAAUCACCGACCCAAGAUAUCUGACACUAUCUCUCUUGGCGAUGACCUGAGAUCCAAUCAUCACGUCCCUUCCUACUUCGCUCGGCUCGGCGCUAAACUUGCACUCCAAGUAUUCUGUCUU